CCAAGUUUUUAAGGGCGCACGGUGGAUGCCUUGGCACCAGGAACCGAUGAAGGACGUGGGAGGCCACGAUAGGCCCCGGGGAGCUGUCAACCGAGCUUUGAUCCGGGGGUGUCCGAAUGGGGAAACCCGGCAGUCGUCAUGGGCUGUCACCCGCUGCUGAACACAUAGGCAGUGUGGAGGGAACGCGGGGAAGUGAAACAUCUCAGUACCCGCAGGAAGAGAAAACAACCGUGAUUCCGGGAGUAGUGGCGAGCGAAACUGGAUGAGGCCAAACCAGUCACGUGUGAUACCCGGCAGGGGUUGCGUGGUUGGGGUUGUGGGAUCUCUCUUUUGCAGUCUGCCGGCUGUGAGGCGAGUCAGAAACCGUUGAUGUAGGCGAAGGACAUGCGAAAGGUCCGGCGUAGAGGGUAAGACCCCCGUAGCUGAAACAUUAGCGGCUCGUUUGAGAGACACCCAAGUAGCACGGGGCCCGAGAAAUCCCGUGUGAAUCUGGCGGGACCACCCGUUAAGCCUAAAUAUUCCCUGGUGACCGAUAGCGGAUAGUACCGUGAGGGAAUGGUGAAAAGUACCGCGGGAGCGGAGUGAAAUAGUACCUGAAACCGUGUGCCUACAAGCCGUGGGAGCGUCGCGCAGAGAACUUGUUCUUUGCGUCGUGACUGCGUGCCUUUUGAAGAAUGAGCCUGCGAGUUUGCGGUAUGUUGCGAGGUUAACCCGUGUGGGGAAGCCGUAGCGAAAGCGAGUCCGAAUAGGGCGUGGAGUAGCAUGCUCAAGACCCGAAGCGGAGUGAUCUAGCCAUGGGCAGGUUGAAGCGGAGGUAAGACUUCGUGGAGGACCGAACCCACCAGGGUUGAAAACCUGGGGGAUGACCUGUGGUUAGGGGUGAAAGGCCAAUCAAACUCCGUGAUAGCUGGUUCUCCCCGAAAUGCAUUUAGGUGCAGCGUCGUGUGUUUCUUGCCGGAGGUAGAGCACUGGAUAGGCGAUGGGCCCUACCGGGUUACUGACCUUAGCCAAACUCCGAAUGCCGGUAAGUGAGAGCGCGGCAGUGAGACUGUGGGGGAUAAGCUCCAUGGUCGAGAGGGAAACAGCCCAGAGCAUCGACUAAGGCCCCUAAGCGUGUGCUAAGUGGGAAAGGAUGUGGAGUCGCAGAGACAACCAGGAGGUUGGCUUAGAAGCAGCCACCCUUGAAAGAGUGCGUAAUAGCUCACUGGUCAAGUGAUUCCGCGCCGACAAUGUAGCGGGGCUCAAGUACACCGCCGAAGUCGUGUCAUUGCGAUAUUACUCCUAACGGGGAUCGUGAUGGGUAGGGGAGCGUCGUGUGCCGGGUGAAGCAGCCGUGGAAACGAGUUGUGGACGGUUCACGAGUGAGAAUGCAGGCAUGAGUAGCGAUACAAGAGUGGGAAACUCUUGCGCCGAUUGACUAAGGGUUCCUGGGUCAAGCUGAUCUGCCCAGGGUAAGUCGGGACCUAAGGCGAGGCCGACAGGCGUAGUCGAUGGACAACCGGUUGAUAUUCCGGUACCCGCUUUGAAGCGCCCAAUACUGAAUCAGGCGAUGCUAAGUCCGUGAAGCCGCCCUGAUCUCUUCGGAGUUGAGGGGAGUGGUGGAGCCGACGGACCAGACUUGUAGUAGGUAAGCGAUGGGGUGACGCAGGAAGGUAGUCCAGCCCGGGCGGUGGUUGUCCCGGGGUAAGGGUGUAGGCCGUGUGGUAGGUAAAUCCGUCGCACGUUAAGGCUGAGACCUGAUGCCGAGCCGAUUGUGGUGAAGUGGAUGAUCCUAUGCUGUCGAGAAAAGCCUCUAGUGAGUUUCAAGGCGGCCCGUACCCUAAACCGACUCAGGUGGUCAGGUAGAGAAUACCGAGGCGUUCGGGUGAACUAUGGUUAAGGAACUCGGCAAAAUGCCCCCGUAACUUCGGGAGAAGGGGGGCCAUUUCUGGUGAGGGAACUUGCUUCCUGAGCUGGGGGUGGCCGCAGAGACCAGCGAGAAGCGACUGUUUACUAAAAACACAGGUCCGUGCGAAGCCGUAAGGCGAUGUAUACGGACUGACGCCUGCCCGGUGCUGGAACGUUAAGGGGACCGGUUAGCUCCAUUUCGGUGGGGCGAAGCUGAGAACUUAAGCGCCAGUAAACGGCGGUGGUAACUAUAACCAUCCUAAGGUAGCGAAAUUCCUUGUCGGGUAAGUUCCGACCUGCACGAAUGGCGUAACGACUUCUCGACUGUCUCAACCAUAGGCCCGGUGAAAUUGCAUUACGAGUAAAGAUGCUCGUUUCGCGCAGCAGGACGGAAAGACCCCGGGACCUUUACUAUAGCUUGAUAUUGGUGUUCGGUUCGGCUUGUGUAGGAUAGGUGGGAGACUGUGAAGCGCCAACGCCAGUUGGUGUGGAGUCGUUGUUGAAAUACCACUCUGGUCGUGCUGGAUGUCUAACCUGGGUCCGUGAUCCGGAUCAGGGACAGUGUCUGGUGGGUAGUUUAACUGGGGCGGUUGCCUCCUAAAGAGUAACGGAGGCGCCCAAAGGUUCCCUCAGCCUGGUUGGUAAUCAGGUGUUGAGUGUAAGUGCACAAGGGAGCUUGACUGUGAGACUGACGGGUCGAGCAGGUACGAAAGUAGGGACUAGUGAUCCGGCGGUGGCUUGUGGAAGCGCCGUCGCUCAACGGAUAAAAGGUACCCCGGGGAUAACAGGCUGAUCUUCCCCAAGAGUCCAUAUCGACGGGAUGGUUUGGCACCUCGAUGUCGGCUCGUCGCAUCCUGGGGCUGGAGUCGGUCCCAAGGGUUGGGCUGUUCGCCCAUUAAAGCGGUACGCGAGCUGGGUUUAGAACGUCGUGAGACAGUUCGGUCCCUAUCCGCUGUGCGCGUAGGAGUCUUGAGAAGGGCUGUCCCUAGUACGAGAGGACCGGGACGGACGAACCUCUGGUGUGCCAGUUGUUCUGCCAAGGGCAUGGCUGGUUGGCUACGUUCGGAAAGGAUAACCGCUGAAAGCAUCUAAGCGGGAAGCCUGCUUCGAGAUGAGGGCUCCCUCCUCCUUGAGAGGGUAAGGCUCCCAGUAGACGACUGGGUUGAUAGGCCAGAUAUGGAAGCACUGUAAGGUGUGGAGUUGACUGGUACUAAUAGGCCGAGGGCUUGUCCUC
rnacentral:rRNA from 2 species